GUAGGUUCGUCCUUGCUCUGAGGGAAGAGUGUGGGCCACAGGCCAUGGGGACACUCUGAGGAUGUGGGUGCUGCCCAUCUUGAAGUUUCUCCCCACCCCUCUCCGGAGCUGCUACCAUUGUCCUUUGCCCUCGGAGUGCUCUCCUCCCACCCCCGCCGCCUCUUGUUCUCUUUCUCCCUUGAGCCGUUAGAAUGGCAGGGAGCCCAGCCAGGGCCUGGACGGCGGCCUCAGCUCCCUGUUCUCAAUAAUUGUGUGUGUGUGCAUGUGUGCAUGUGUACGUGUGAGUGCCUGUGUGUGUGCAUUGUGUGUAGGGGCUGGGGCUGGAGUCGACAACAGAUCAGAGCACAGGAGUAGAGCGCUUCUGGGAGGGUGGGGCCACCCGUGAGUCACGUCCUGCACCCUGGAGCCCAGAGGACCCUUCGCUCAAACCCACCACCAGCUGGCAACACCGGACCAGACCAGCCGGAGCCGCUUUCUUCGCUGCGCAGAGGAGCCUGGGAGAAGCCAGAGGUGCUUGAGGAUGGAUUCUUGGCUCCUGGUGCAUUGCCACUCCCUGCCACCCUCCUCCUUGUCUUCUAUCUUCUCCUGGUGGCGUCAGGCCUUGCUUCGUGUCCCAACAGGAGCCUCUGGGGCUGGCACAGCCCUCACUGCCUACAACCUGGGCCUGGUGGUUCUCCUAGGGUGCCUCUGGGAGGUCAUGGUCACCCCGCUGCUGGCUAACUGCAGCUACUUCUGCCAGCCAGUGGACUACAGAUGGAGAAAGCAUGGAAUGAGGGCAUCUUCCUGGAGACAGGAAGGUAGGCACUGUGGAAUCAGCGGUGCGUAGAACAGUGAGGAUUUGGGGCUGAACCCAGCCCAGGUGGGCCAAGCCGUGGCACCAGCCGGACUGCAGUCUGAUGGAACUUCCCCUUCCUGCCCAGCAGAUGGCGAGCGUGUGCUGCUGGUGCCUCUUUCCAAAGGACGUUGAAUUGCUUGACAGGUGUUCUUUACUUUAUGAAUGAAGCCAGAGCAGCCCACCUUCCUGCAUCUCUACCACCAUGGCACCAUGCCCUGUGAUGGGUGGGCUGGAGUCAAAUAUGUAGCAGGCAGCCAGGGUCAGUUUGUGGCCACUGCUGCCCCCUCUUCCUACAGUCUCCUCACUGAGUGCCCCUUCCCUGUUGGGUUCAACACAUCUGUGCUCCUGUAAGCCCUCAGCCUCCUCGUUCUCUUCCUCAACUUCUACCACCAGACACAUCUGAGAAGCAAGCAAGAGAGGCUGAACUAGGAGCAGGACCCAGGGACUGAAACCAGCACAGCAUCCCCACAGAGAAUUGGGUGGAAGGCAGCAUGGCUUCCAGCUUACUGGUGCUGAGCAGAUUGCUCUGGGUCUCCAUUGUAUCCUCUGAAGGAAGGAGGAGGAUUGCCUUCUGUCCAGAUCUCAGGAUCAAACAAAUAGGUCCAAUUUCCUGUGCUCACUUCAGUUAGAGCACUUCUCAUGUGACUUUGUAGCUUUGUGUGCAUCUCCUUCCUCUACUAGACCUAAGCCCCUCACGGGAGGGACUCUCUUAUUCUUGAUGUUCCCCACACCUGGAAUUUCAAUAAACAUCUCAAUAAACGUGUGUGUUUGGAUCCUUGGAUCCCAUGACUGCCGUCAUAACCUUGGUGAAGAAGAGGGCUGGGAGUAGGAAAGAGGUCAAGGUUCGCUUGAUCUCUAACCCUAUAGUGGGAAAUUGUGACGGAGAAUAUUCAAGAGUGGGUGUGGGUCUGUUUGAUUUCAGGUGUAGCUGUGUAAAUAGUUAGCCCUGCAUAUAUUUUUGUCUACUCACAACUGCCUGCAUGUGUAUUCAUAGAGUUGUGUGAUUCUGUGUAUGUGCCUGGGGAGUGGGAGAGGGCCAUGUGCACAUGUCUGAAUACUUGUUUUCAAAUAUACAUGCAUGUUUCCAUUUGGGUUUCUCUCCAUUUGUGUUGUUUGCCUGCCUCUUCUGUAAGUCUCUGAAAGUGCCACAUUGGCAAAUAAAAGCCACUGGGAUCAAUAAUUCUCCUGUUCUGAUGGGAGACAUGGAAGCCCACUGAGAAAUCUCCGAAUACAUGUUCCACUAAGAGCUUCCAAAAAUAAAUGGGAAAAAAGGAGAAAUGGGGCACACCCAUCUUCUUCACAGAGAGGGAAACUGAGGACCAGCAAAGGGGAAUAUAUGACUGAGAUACUAUGGCAGAAGCAAAUAUUGGCUGAGCUGUUCAAACCCAGAAUAGGAUGGGUUUCUUGAAAGCAGUUUGCCUGGGAGCUGUCUCUAUGUCUCCAGUAUGAUGACUUUUCUCCUUUAUAAUUGCCCUUCGGCUGUUUUUCAUCUCUAGGUAAGUUCUUAUUUUGCCAUGCCUCAAUAGUCAAGAAAAUUAAAGAAUUGCUGAAGGUUAUGCAGUGCUAUUUGGGGACUGUGUCUCCAUCUGGCCUUUUAGUUAAUCAACCCAAGGCCAGGCAAGGCUACAUCCUGUGGACAGAAUACUCAGAGAAAAUUCC
rnacentral:lncRNA from 1 species